rnacentral:rRNA from 1 species
UGGGGAAUCUUGCGCAAUGGGCGAAAGCCUGACGCAGCAACGCCGCGUGAGCGAAGAAGGCCUUCGGGUUGUAAAGCUCUGUCAGGAGGGACGAAGCCACUCGGGUGAACAGCCCAGAGGGUGACGGUACCUCCAGAGGAAGCCCCGGCUAACUACGUGCCAGCAGCCGCGGUACUACGUAGGGGGCGAGCGUUGUCCGGCAUCAUUGGGCGUAAAGCGCGUGUAGUCGGCUUGGCAAGUCUGGUGUGAAAG